CUGCUUAGUUCAGAUUGCUCAACAUGUUUAAAGUGCAGGUCCCAUUUGAAAAGGGGCUAUGUAAAAACAGCACCUUCUACUCAGCAAAUCUAUUCCUUGUAUACUUCAAUGAAAGAGGAAGAGUUCACUUAAUGUCUUCCCGGCUGAGCCACCACAGCUCUGGGAGAAGAAACUGGAUUAUAUUCAGGCAAAAACUCCAGGGAAGUCUAUAUGCUGAGUUCUCUUGGUUCUAGUUUUGGUUCAGGAAAUCUCUCAUACGCAUGUGAACUGAAAGAAGAGUGCAGAGAGAUCAUCCUAUCCCACAUCCAUUCAAUUGUAAUGGACUAAGAAAACAGAAAACUAAGAAAAUUGGCCUGAUGAAGUGUUAAAUAACAUCACAAAAAUUAGAGGUGAUUGGAACACUUCCAUCAAACUUAAAUUAGCAAAAUAUAGGAAUAAAAUCUUAA